rnacentral:rRNA from 1 species
UACGUAGGGUGCGAGCGUUAAUCGGAAUUACUGGGCGUAAAGCGUGCGCAGGCGGUUUGUUAAGACAGAGGUGAAAUCCCCGGGCUCAACCUGGGAACUGCCUUUGUGACUGCAUGACUAGAGUACGGUAGAGGGGGAUGGAAUUCCGCGUGUAGCAGUGAAAUGCGUAGAUAUGCGGAGGAACACCGAUGGCGAAGGCAAUCCCCUGGACCUGUACUGACGCUCAUGCACGAAAGCGUGGGGAGCAAACAGG